GAGGAUAUUGGUGCCCGUACCGCAAACCGACACAGGUAGGUGAGGAGAGAAUCCUAAGACCAUCGGAAGAAUUGCUGUUAAGGAACUCGGCAAAUUGACCCCGUAACUUCGGGAGAAGGGGUGCCUACGAAAGUAGGUCGCAGAGAAUAGGCCCAAGCAACUGUUUAGCAAAAACACAGGUCUCUGCUAAAGCGAAAGCUGAUGUAUAGGGGCUGACGCCUGCCCGGUGCUGGAAGGUUAAGGGGAUUAGUUAGCGCAAGUGAAGCUAUGAACUUAAGCCCCAGUAAACGGCGGCCGUAACUAUAACGGUCCUAAGGUAGCGAAAUUCCUUGUCGGGUAAGUUCCGACCCGCACGAAUGGCGUAAUGAUUUGGGCACUGUCUCAACAGCACAUCCGGCGAAAUUGUAGUGCCAGUGAAGAUGCUGGCUACCCGCGAUUGGACGGAAAGACCCCGUAGAGCUUUACUGUAGCUUAGCAUUGAAUUUCGGUAUUGUCUGUACAGGAUAGGUGGGAGA
rnacentral:rRNA from 1 species